GAUGAACGCUAGCGGCAGGCUUAAUACAUGCAAGUCGAGGGGCAUCAAGGUACACGAAAGUGUAUUGUUGGCGACCGGCGGACGGGUGAGUAAUAGGUAGGUAACCUACCUCAUACUGAGGCAUAGCUGGGAGAAAUUCCAGGUAAUUCCUCAUGAGGUUAUAUGACACAUGUGAUAUAAUCAAAGGUAUCGCAAGGUACUGGUAUGAGAUGGGCUUACUGACCAUUAGCUAGUUGGUGAGAUAAGAGCUCACCAAGGCGAAGAUGGUUAGGGGUUUGAGAGAGAGAUCCCCCAAUUGGAACUGAGAUACGGUCCAGACUCCUACGGGAGGCAGCAGUAGGGAAUAGUUGGGCAAUGGGCGGAAGCCUGACCCAGCCAUGCCGCGUGAAGGAAGACGGGCCUUAGUGGGUUGUAAACUUUCUUUACUAUGCGACUAACUAGAUUUACGAGAUAAUUCUAUAGAAUGUAGCAUAGACAAAAAGCAACGGA
rnacentral:rRNA from 1 species